rnacentral:rRNA from 1 species
AGAGUUUGAUCAUGGCUCAGAACGAACGCUGGCGGCGUGGAUAAGACAUGCAAGUCGAGCGCUAAUUUAAGGGUAGCAAUAUUCUUAAGUUGGAGCGGCGCAAGGGUGCGUAACACGUGGGUAAUUUGCCGUGAAGUUGGGGAUAACUUGCUGAAAGGCGAGCUAAUACCGAAUGUGACAUUUGGAAGGCAUCUUUCGAAUUUCAAAGUUGGGGACCGCAAGGCCUGACGCUUCACGAUAAGCCCGCGGCCUAUCAGCUAGUUGGUGAGGUAACGGCCCACCAAGGCUAAGACGGGUAGCUGGUCUGAGAGGACGACCAGCCACACUGGAACUGAGACACGGUCCAGACACCUACGGGUGGCAGCAGUCGAGAAUUUUUCUCAAUGGGCGAAAGCCUGAAGGAGCGACGCCGCGUGGGGGAUGAAUGGCUUCGGCCCGUAAACCCCUGUCAUUUGCGAACAAACCUUACGAUUUAAUAAGUCGUGAGCUGAUUGUAGCGAAAGAGGAAGGGACGGCUAACUCUGUGCCAGCAGCCGCGGUAAUACAGAGGUCCCAAGCGUUGUUCGGAUUCACUGGGCGUAAAGGGUGCGUAGGUGGUCGGGUAAGUCUGAUGUGAAAUCUCCGAGCUUAACUCGGAAAUGGCAUUGGAUACUACUCGGCUAGAGGGUUGGAGGGGGGACUGGAAUACUUGGUGUAGCAGUGAAAUGCGUAGAUAUCAAGUGGAACACCAGUGGCGAAGGCGAGUCCCUGGACAACUCCUGACACUGAGGCACGAAAGCUAGGGGAGCAAACAGGAUUAGAUACCCUAGUAGUCC